rnacentral:rRNA from 1 species
UACGUAGGUGACCAGCGUUGUCCGGAUUUACUGGGCGUAAAGAGCGCGCAGGCGGUCGUUCAAGUCGAGUGUGAAAGCCCCCGGCUCAACUGGGGAGGGUCAUUCGAUACUGAUCGACUCGAAGGCAGGAGAGGGUAGUGGAACUCCCGGUGUAGUGGUGAAAUGCGUAGAUAUCGGGAGGAACACCAGUGGCGAAGGCGACUACCUGGCCUGUUCUUGACGCUGAGGCGCGAAAGCUAGGGGAGCAAACGGG